UGGGGAAUAUUGGACAAUGGGCGCAAGCCUGAUCCAGCAAUGCCGCGUGUGUGAAGAAGGCCUUCGGGUUGUAAAGCACUUUUAUCAGGAGCGAAACGCUGUCGGCUAAUACCCGGCGGAACUGACGGUACCUGAGGAAUAAGCACCGGCUAACUUCGUGCCAGCAGCCGCGGUAAUACGAAGGGUGCAAGCGUUAAUCGGAAUUACUGGGCGUAAAGCGUGCGUAGGCGGUUUCUUAAGUCUGCUGUGGAAUCCCCGGGCUCAACCUGGGAAUGGCAGUGGAUACUGGGAGGCUAGAGUGUGUCAGAGGGUGGUGGAAUUCCCGGUGUAGCGGUGAAAUGCGUAGAGAUCGGGAGGAACAUCAGUGGCGAAGGCGGCCACCUGGGACAACACUGACGCUGAGGCACGAAAGCGUGGGGAGCAAACAGGAUUAGAUACCCUGGUAGUCCACGCCCUAAACGAUGCGAACUGGAUGUUGGUCUCAACUCGGAGAUCAGUGUCGAAGCUAACGCGUUAAGUUCGCCGCCUGGGGAGUACGGUCGCAAGACU
rnacentral:rRNA from 1 species